AAUGAACGCUGGCGGCGUGCUUAAUACAUGCAAGUCGUGCGAGAAAGUACCUUCGGGGUGCGAGUAGAGCGGGGAACGGGUGAGUAACACGUAUGUAACCAUACCUCUAAAAUCUGGGAAGUAACUCUGGCAACAGCGGAGCUACUACCGGAUGUGGUCACGAUGCUGCAUGGUAUUGUGACUAAAGGUGACCUCUCCUUGUGAAGUUACCGUUGAGAGAUGGGCUUGCGGACCAUUAGCUAGUUUGUGAGGUAACGGCUCACCAAAGCUACUAUGGAUAUCCGACCUAAAAGGGUGAUCGGCCACAUUGGGACUGAGAUACGGUCCAAACUCCUACGGGAGGCAGCAGUAUGGAAUUUUGCGCAAUGGACUGAAAGUCUGACGCAGCAACGCCGCAUGAGGGAUGACGGCCUUCGGGUUGUAAACCUCUGUGGAGUGGGAAGAAAAGCUUAGUGGUUAAUAUCCACAGAGUCUGACGGUACCACUCGAGGAAGCUCCGGCUAACUACGUGCCACCAGCCUGCGGUAAUACGUAGGGGGCUAGCGUCGUUCGGAAUCACUGGGCGUAAAGGGAGUGUAGGCGGACCGGUAAGUUAGGAGUUAAAUGUACGGGCUCAAGCCGUGAUCUGCUUUUAAUACUGUCGGUCUUGAGUAUGGGAGAGGGAGAUGGAAUACCAGGUGUAGCGGUGGAAUGCGUACAUAUCUGGAAGAACACCAGUUGCGAAGGCGGUCUCCUGGACCAAUACUGACGCUGAUGCUCGAAAGCUGGGGGAGCGAACAGGAUUUGAUACCCUGGUAAUCCCAGCCGUAAACGAUGGACACUAGUUG
rnacentral:rRNA from 1 species